GUAGGUGGCAAGCGUUGUCCGGAAUUAUUGGGCGUAAAGCGCGCGCAGGUGGUUCUUUAAGUCUGAUGUGAAAGCCCCCGGCUCAACCGGGGAGGGUCAUUGGAAACUGGGGAACUUGAGUGCAGGAGAGGAAAGUGGAAUUCCACGUGUAGCGGUGAAAUGCGUAGAUAUGUGGAGGAACACCAGUGGCGAAGGCGACUUUUCUGGCCUGUAACUGACACUGAGGCGCGAAAGCGUGGGGAGCAAACAGGGAUUAGAUACCCUGGUAGUCCACGCCGUAAACGAUGAGUGCUAAGUGUUGGGGGGGUUUCCGCCCCCUCAGUGCUGCAGCUAACGCAUUAAGCAUCCGCCCUGGGAGUACGGUCGCAAGACUG
rnacentral:rRNA from 1 species